GGUGGGGGAUGGGAGAUGGGAACUGGAGCCUUCUAAGAGCCGAAGUCUAGGCUCCUGUUCCGCCAUUGCUGGCUUGGGUAAGGGCUCCCAGGGUGAUUUGAGAGUUGCCAGGAGAGGAAGGCCAUUUGGCAAGAAUCCUGACAGACAAAAGCUGGAGGAGGGUAGAGCAAGAUGGCAGAAUAGAAAGCGCCACCGAUCAUACUCCGCCCCCACAAGGACACCAAGUUAACUACCUACACAGAAGAAAUACCUUCAUAAGAAUCAAAAAUCAGACACACCCUGGGCCAGAAGAGAACCCACUUCCUUGAAGGAAAGGAUCCAGUCCUGGCAGCAUUCAUCGCCUGCUAACUGAAGAUCCCUUGGGCCUUGAAUACCAGCAGCAAUACCCAGG